GAUGAAGAACGUAGCGAAAUGCGAUAAGUAGUGUGAAUUGCAGAAUUCAGUGAAUCAUCGAAUCUUUGAACGCACAUUGCGCCCUUUGGUAUUCCAAGGGGCAUGCCUGUUCGAGCGUCAUUUGUACCCUCAAGCUUUGCUUGGUGUUGGGCGUCUUGUCUCUAGCUUUGCUGGAGACUCGCCUUAAAGUAAUUGGCAGCCGGCCUACUGGUUUCGGAGCGCAGCACAAGUCGCACUCUCUAUCAGCAAAGGUCUAGCAUCCACUAAGCCUUUUUUUCAACUUUUGACCUCGGAUCAGGAAGGGAUACCCGCUGAACUUAAGCAUAUCAAUAAGCGGAGGA
rnacentral:misc_RNA from 1 species